rnacentral:rRNA from 1 species
ACGGAGGGUGCAAGCGUUAAUCGGAAUUACUGGGCGUAAAGCGCGCGUAGGCGGUUUGAUUAGUCAGAUGUGAAAUCCCCGAGCUCAACUUGGGAACUGCAUUUGAUACUGUCAGACUAGAGUAUGUUAGAGGAAUGCGGAAUUCCGGGUGUAGCGGUGAAAUGCGUAGAUAUCCGGAGGAACAUCAGUGGCGAAGGCGGCAUUCUGGGAUAAUACUGACGCUGAGGUGCGAAAGCGUGGGGAGCAAACAGG